GCUUACGGCCAUUCCACUCUGAGAAUGCCUGAUCUCGUCUGAUCUCGGAAGCUAAGCAGAGCCGGGCCUGGUUAGUACUUGGAAAGGCGACUGCCUGGGAAUACCAGGUGCUGUAAGCU